AUUGGACGCUGGCGGCAUGCUUUACACAUGCAAGUCGAACGGUAACAGGCCGCAAGGUGCUGACGAGUGGCGAGCGGGUGAGUAAUGCAUCGGAACGUGCCCAGUCGUGGGGGAUAACGCAGCGAAAGCUGCGCUAAUACCGCAUACGAUCUAUGGAUGAAAGCGGGGGACCGUAAGGCCUCGCGCGAUUGGAGCGGCCGAUGUCAGAUUAGGUAGUUGGUGGGGGAAAGGCUCACCAAGCCAACGAUCUGUAGCUGGUCUGAGAGGACGACCAGCCACACUGGGACUGAGAAACGGCCCAGACUCCUACGGGAGGCAGCAGUGGGGAAUUUUGGACAAUGGGCGCAGGCCUGAUCCAGCAAUGCCGCGUGCAGGAAGAAGGCCUUCGGGUUGUAAACUGCUUUUGUACGGAACGAAACGGUCCUGGUUAAUACCCGGGGCUAAUGACGGUACCGUAAGAAUAAGCACCGGCUAACUACGUGCCAGCCGCCGCCGUAAGAC
rnacentral:rRNA from 1 species